rnacentral:rRNA from 1 species
AGAGUUUGAUCCUGGCUCAGAACGAACGCUGGCGGCGUGCCUAAUACAUGCAAGUCGAACGAGAACGCACCUUCGGGUGUUAGUACAGUGGCAGACGGGUGAGUAAGGCAUAGGUAACCUACCUCUAAGCGGGGGAUAACCUUUCGAAAGGAGGGCUAAAACCGCAUGUGACCACAGUUACUAAGGUAACAGGGGUAAAAGAUUGCCUCUACUUGUAAGCUAUCACUUAGAGAUGGGCUUAUGUACCAUUAGCUUGUUGGUGGGGUAAUGGCCUACCAAGGCGACGAUGGUUAGCUGAUCUGAGAGGUUGAUCAGCCACACUGGAACCGAGACACGGUCCAGACUCCUACGGGAGGCAGCAGUAGGGAAUUUUGCGCAAUGGGGGAAACCCUGACGCAGCGACGCCGCGUGGGCGAUGAAGGCUUUCGGGUCGUAAAGCCCUGUCGGGAGGGACGAAAAACGGAAUGGCUAAUAUCCAUUCCGCUUGACGGUACCUCUAAAGGAAGCACCGGCUAACUACGUGCCAGCAGCCGCGGUAAUACGUAGGGUGCUAGCGUUGUUCGGAAUUAUUGGGCGUAAAGCGCGUGUAGGUGGUUUUGCUAGUCAGAUGUGAAAGCCCUAGGCUCAACCUAGGAAGUGCAUCUGAAACUGCAUGGCUAGAGGACGGUAGGGGAAGGUGGAAUUCCUAGUGUAGAGGUGAAAUUCGUAGAUAUUAGGAGGAAUACCGGUGGCGAAAGCGGCCUUCUGGGCCGUUCCUGACACUGAGACGCGAAAGCGUGGGUAGCAAACAGGAUUAGAUACCCUGGUAGUCCACGCCGUAAACGAUGGGUACUAGGUGUUGCGGGAAUUGACCCCUGCAGUGCCGCCGCUAACGCAUUAAGUACCCCGCCUGGGAAGUACGGUCGCAAGAUUAAAACUCAAAGGAAUUGACGGGGGCCCGCACAAGCGGUGGAGCAUGUGGUUCAAUUCGAUGCAACGCGAAAAACCUUACCUGGGUUUGAAAUCCCCGGACCGCCCUAGAGAUAGGGUUUUCUCUUCGGAGACUGGGAGAUAGGUGCUGCAUGGCUGUCGUCAGCUCGUAUCGUGAGAUGUCGGGUUAAGUCCCUUAACGAGCGCAACCCUUGUCCUUCGUUGCCAUCAUUUAGUUGGGCACUCAAAGGAGACUGCCGGUGUUAAGCCGGAGGAAGGUGGGGAUGACGUCAAGUCCUCAUGGCCCUUAUGCCCAGGGCUACACACGUGCUACAAUGGCCGGUACAGAGGGUCGCCAACCCGCGAGGGGGAGCUAAUCUCAGAAAGCCGGUCCCAGUUCAGAUUGAAGUCUGCAACUCGACUUCAUGAAGGUGGAAUCGCUAGUAAUCGCGAAUCAGCAGGUCGCGGUGAAUACGUUCCCGGGCCUUGUACACACCGCCCGUCACACCACGAAAGUUGAUUGCACCAGAAGUCGCCGUACCAACCGUAAGGAGGGAGGCGCCCAAGGUGCGAUUGAUGAUUGGGGUGAAGUCGUAACAAGGUA